GCAACAUGGCUCAGUGGUAAAAGCAUCUGCCUUGCAUGCAGAAGUUCCUAAGUUCAAUCCCCAAGUAGGGCUGAAACA